rnacentral:rRNA from 1 species
AACGAACGCUGGCGGCAGGCCUAACACAUGCAAGUCGAGCGAGGACUUCGGUUCUAGCGGCGGACGGGUGAGUAACGCGUGGGAAUGUUCCCUUCUCUACGGAAUAGCCCUGGGAAACUGGGAGUAAUACCGUAUACGCCCUAUUGGGGAAAGAUUUAUCGGAGAAGGAUCAGCCCGCGUUGGAUUAGGUAGUUGGUGGGGUAAUGGCCUACCAAGCAGACGAUCCAUAGUUGGUUAGAGAGGAUGAUCAGCCACACUGGGACUGAGACACGGCCCAGACUCCUACGGGAGGCAGCAGUGGGGAAUCUUAGACAAUGGGGGCAAACCUGAUCUAGCCAUGCCGCGUGAGUGAUGAAGGCCUUAGGGUUGUAAAGCUCUUUCAGCUGGGAAGAUAAUGACGGUACCAGCAGAAGAAGCCCCGGCUAACUCCGUG